rnacentral:rRNA from 1 species
CCCGCUGAACUUAAGCAUAUCAAUAAGCGGAGGAAAAGAAACCAACAGGGAUUGCCUCAGUAACGGCGAGUGAAGCGGCAACAGCUCAAAUUUGAAAUCUGGCUCUUUUAGGGCCCGAGUUGUAAUUUGUAGAGGAUGCUUCGGCGUCGGCUCCGGUCUAAGUUCCUUGGAACAGGACGUCAUAGAGGGUGAGAAUCCCGUAUGUGAUCGGUUGCCUUUGCCAUGUGAAGCUCCUUCGACGAGUCGAGUUGUUUGGGAAUGCAGCUCUAAAUGGGAGGUAAAUUUCUUCUAAAGCUAAAUACCGGCCAGAGACCGAUAGCGCACAAGUAGAGUGAUCGAAAGAUGAAAAGCACUUUGGAAAGAGAGUCAAAAAGUACGUGAAAUUGUUGAAAGGGAAGCGCUUGCAACCAGACCUGCCUGCAGUUGCUCAUCCCGCUGGCUUUUGCCCGGUGCACUCUUCUGCUGACAGGCCAGCAUCGGUUCGGGCGGUCGGAUAAAGGCUUCUGGAAUGUAGCUCCUCUCGGGGAGUGUCACAGCCCGCUGCGAAACGCGGCCAGCCCGGUCUGACGUCCGCGCUUCGCCUAGGAUGCUGGCGUAAUGGCUGUAAGCGGCCCGUCUUGAAACACGG